UAGGGAGACCUAAACCCAAUGUCUUGAGGAUGCAACUAAGCCCAAGAGAUUGAGGUCAACCUAGGUCGGUCGGAGACUCGUCAAGCUUUCAAACGAUAAGAGGUUAGGAAUCCUAUAUUGCUCAGAUUCGUCUGAGUUUUUGGAAAAAAGAGACCAACCUUGAAAUGGGCUAUUAGCUCAGGUGGUUAGAGCGCACCCCUGAUAAGGGUGAGGUCCCUGGUUCAAGUCCAGGAUGGCCCACCUAAAACUUGGUUGGGCGACCACAAGGGUUCGCCCCUACUAAGAAAAUGGGGGUAUAGCUCAGUUGGUAGAGCGCCUGCUUUGCAAGCAGGAUGUCAGCGGUUCGAGUCCGCUUACCUCCAUGCUGGUCUCAUCCAUUCUCAUCCACCAAGAAUUCCUAACAUCAACAAAGUAAAGCAAGGAUACCUCAGCACCUGAGAAAGACUCAGACUGCUGGGACAUCCCAGCCAGAACCUUGAAAACUGCAUAGUCAACCUAAAAAAAAGUCAGGUAAAGUCGAGACCUCAAAAGAAC
rnacentral:tRNA from 2 species